rnacentral:rRNA from 1 species
UGCCCCCCGGCCCGGGAUAGCCCAGGGAAACCUGGAUUAAUACCGGAUGAGACGGGACCCGCGAUGGCGGGAUCCGGGAAAGGCGCUGCGGCGCCGCCGGGGGAUGAGUCUGCGUCCCAUUAGCUAGACGCGGGGUAACGGCCCACCGUGGCGACGAUGGGUAGCCGGCCUGAGAGGGUGACGGCCACAUUGGAACUGAGACACGGUCCAGACUCCUACGGGAGGCAGCAGCUAAGAAUCUUCCGCAAUGGGCGAAAGCCUGACGGAGCGAACCGCCGCGUGAACGAAGAAGGCCGUGAGGUUGUAAAGUUCUUUUCGGGAGGGGGAACAACCGUGGCAGGGAAUGGCCGCGGGAUGACGUGAAUCCCGGAAUAAGCCCCGGCUAACUACGUGCCAGCCGCGGC